UAAUCGGAGAGUUUGAUCCUGGCUCAGAAUGAACGCUGGCGGCGUGCCUAACACAUGCAAGUCGAACGAGAAACUUCCUGCUUGCAGGAAGGAGUAAAGUGGCGCACGGGUGAGUAACGCGUGAGUAACCUGCCCCUGAAUCUGGGAUAACUUCGCGAAAGCGUGGCUAAUACCGGAUACCGUCCCGGGGACUCCGGUCUUCGGGAUGAAAGGUGACCUCUCCAUGGAAGUUGCCGUUCAGGGAGGUCCUACGGGAGGCAGCAGUGAGGAAUUUUGCGCAAUGGGGGAAACCCUGACGCAGCAACGCCGCGUGAGUGAAGAAGGCCUUCGGGUCGUAAAGCUCUGUCAAGUGGGAAAAAAGCCUUACGGUGAAUAGCCGUAAGGUCUGAUGGUACCACUAGAGGAAGCACCGGCUAACUCCGUGCCAGCAGCCGCGGUAAUACGGAGGGUGCGAGCGUUGUUCGGAAUUACUGGGCGUAAAGAGCGUGUAGGCGGCUUGGCAAGUCAGAUGUGAAAGCCCGGGGCUCAACCCCGGAAGUGCAUUUGAAACUGCCGAGCUUGAGUAUGGGAGAGGAGAGUGGAAUUCCCAGUGUAGAGGUGAAAUUCGUAGAUAUUGGGAGGAACACCCGUGGCGAAGGCGACUCUCUGGACCAAUACUGACGCUGAGACGC
rnacentral:rRNA from 1 species